rnacentral:lncRNA from 1 species
GUUCAGCAAAGUAAGAUCUACAAAUAAGUCAACAUGACCAAAAUGGUCAGUUGACCACUUUAGGAGUUAUUGCCCUUUAUAGUCAAUUUUUAACCAUUUUUCGUAAAUCUUAGUAAUCUUUUAGAAAAAUCUUCUCCUCUGAAACUACUGGGCCAAAUUUAACCAAACUUGGCCAUAAUCAUCAUUGGGGUAUCUAGUUUAAAAAAUGUGUCCGAUGACCCGCCCAACUAACCAAGAUGGCCGCCAUGGCUAAAAAUAGAACAUAGGGGUAAAAUGCAGUUUUUGGCUUAUAACUCAAAAACCAAAG